GUCCUUUCAGCGCAAUGACUAGCGCGUUGGACUACUGAUCCAAAGGUCGUGGGUUCGAUCCCAACAGGGAAGGCCU